rnacentral:miRNA from 1 species
UUGAGUCUCAGAUAAACAUCAAGUAGUUUUUCAGCCUAAGUAUGUCCCCACCAUUGCAUGGGACAUACUUAUACUAAAAAAUAAUCAUUUGCUAUUUGUCUGAAAUUCAGAUAGAGC